rnacentral:lncRNA from 1 species
GUUGUCUGUAACAUAAUGAAUCUCAUUUAUUGCUUCGGAUUAAUCGUUUCAGAAGUCAUCAAAAUGAAAGAAAUAAUUUUAAGUGUCAAACUCAUGCGAAUGCAGAAGCCAAUGCGUACUUAAAUCAAUUAAAACACCAAACCUUCACAAAAUCAAACACACAUAACAUCUAGCUUCAAGAUUCAAAAACUCUAAACACAAUUCAAAACUAUAUAUCAAUUCAUAG